UGUUGGGUGGCAACAAUGGUAUGGCUUUGGACAUACGGAACAUGAUAUGCAAAAAAGUAUCAUUUCUGUAUACUUGUCUCCGAAUCCCGAAUUCUCUUGCAUUUUUCUCUAAUGCCUAAGUUUUCAGUACAAUAAAAUAUUCAAUGCUAACAAGCCAAGUACUUAUUAAAAAGCACAAAGACUUGUUAGAAUAUUUAUAGAUAUUUUAUAAGAGUUGCAUGGAAGGAAUGGAUGAACUACAAAAAUAGAAUUUUCAUGCUAAAGUCAAUAAAAAUCUUACUUGGACCAUAUGAAACCAACAUUUCUGCAAGUGAACAUUAUUGAAUACUCGUCCUAGAGCAUUUGUCAAUGCUAGUUCAUAGUCCGUUACAAUAUUUGUUGCUCUGAUGUCACACAUUUCACGUAAAUAUUCAAAAAUUGACUGAUAUGCUGCUUCGGUCUUUCUACGCAUCAUUAUAUAUGCAACCGGAAAUGCCUUUACCUGAUCCAUAUACAUUGCCAUUAUUAUCAACAACUGAUCAUUUGCUGGUUGUGCUGGUCUACUUUUAAAUGUCGCAUCAAUGUGAAGCUCUUGAGCAGAAAUUAACAAACUAAUAUUGUUCCAAACAAAUAAUGUUAAAUAUAGUUGUGCUGGCGAAAUAAAUACAACAGCUUCACCACCAUCUGGACCGCCAUUGAUAUAGCCCCUAUACAUAUUUUGACCAUUAUAUGUUUGGAACAUAGAGCUAUAACGUUCAUCGUUGAAACAGCCAGCAUACUCUAACAUUGUCAAAGGAUAUAACUUGAUCUAUAAAAAGUGCUUGAAUUGAAAAAGAAACAGAAGGGAUAUGCUAAAAUAUUUUUUGAAAACAUAAGAAGUACUCGGCUCUUGCAUUCACUCUCAAUUUUUGUGCUAGCUAUAAAUAUAAUAUAGAUUUCAUGAUGUACCCUGGUCAAUGAUAAAGAUACAUAAAAACAAAACUUAUCUUAAAAUAAUGUUGAAAUAAUUGAAUUUCCUAUGGGCCUUGAAGUAUUAGUGGAGAAUAAACAAGAAAUGUCUGGAUAAUUAAUAAAUUAUUACAAUUAAUUUAUCUAGUUGGAUCCAGAGAUUGUGCUAUUAUGGCAAUAAUAUGUAAAUUUUAAUUCUAUCAUAAAAUAUUUAUAUUAAAUAUAAAGCACUUUUGUGGGUUAAGCUAUUGUGGUUCUAUACGCCUCAUUUAUACUGAAACAAUGUUAGCCAUACAAUUUUUAAAUACAUAAUGUUUUUUACUAAAAAUUAUCAAUAAUUAAUUAAGCCAAUAAUUGUUCGUUAUGUGUUGUAAUUAAUAGUUUUAUACCUGUAGCAGGACAA